UGAAACACUAGUUCCAUUAUGAUCACUGAAGUCAAGCAACAUUGAGCCUGAUCAGUACCUAGAUGAGUGACCAUUUUGAAAUAUCAGGUGCUGUAAG